GAUAAUUACAAGCAUAAGCUCAAAACUCAAAGGACUUGGCGGCGCUUUAGAUCCACCUAGAGGAGCCUGUUCUAUAACCGAUAACCCCCGUUAAACCUUACCUUCUUUUGCCUCCAGUCUAUAUACCGCCGUCGUCAGCUUACCCUUUGAAGGUUUCCCUAGUAAGCAAGACCGGUCAAGCCCCAGACGUCAGGUCAAGGUGUAGCAUAUAAGAAGCGAAGAAAUGGGCUACAUUUCCUAUAUAGGGCCUACGGAUAAUGUUUUGAAACAAAUAUAUUGAAGUAGGAUUUAGCAGUAAGUAAAAAAUAGAGUGUUUUACUGAAAACGGCUCUUAAGCGCGCACACACCGCCCGUCGCUCUCUCCUAAUUUUAUUUUUAAUUCAAUACAUAAAACAUUUCAUUAACUAAGGAGAGACAAGUCGUAACAUGGUAAGUGUACUGGAAAGUGCACUUGGACAAAU
rnacentral:rRNA from 1 species